GUCAUGUUGUAUUAAAAACCUCGUUUUGUUUACUUUUGUUACAUACGUCCUUAUGAAAAAUUAUGCUUGUAUUUAUUUAUUUUCUUUCUCCGAUGUUUGUUUUUGUUAUCGAAUUUUUCAAUCGCGUUCGAAAUGUUUUUGUGGAAACGAAUGAAUCGUGUUGAAUUGGUUCCUUUUGGUGUAUGGAAAUAUAGGUCAUUGGAUGCUCACCAGCUAGCGGAAUGGUGCAUGUCAUAUCUCUGUGUGAACUACAACAGCACCUGCAAGCUUUCGCCGCGAAGUUUGAAGAGUCUGCAUCCGGACAAUCAGGAUUAUUUGCGAGAGCACCGAUAGCCACCGGUGUGAAUUCUGAAGGACUACGACUACUACCAACGAUGUAUGAACGAGCUCAACAAUAGACCUGUGCAGCGGUUCAUUAAAUUCACUCACCCGAUGGAUUUUGACAUUUGAGCGGGUCGUCUUCUCGAACAAAAGUUCAUUUUGCGUUCAUUAUGCGACCCGCUCAAACGUCAUAAUUUCUUGGGGGAGUUCAUUUUGCGUUAGUCUAUGGGAAGAAAGACUGCACGGCAGACGACAAGGGUUGUCUCUGCUUUUCCGGAGGGAAAUCAAAACAAUCGGCCGCGGCAGCCAAAUCGACCAUGCAGAAGGCAAUUACCUAGUUAGCUCGGAGCACCAAUCGGACAUGGUUAGCACCAGUCUGUUCGAGUCAAAUGCCAACUUGGUGAACCAGUUUGAUCCGGAACACGACGGUGCGGAUCUCUGACAUUUGGCCUACGGAUCGUGGAAGUCGCUUCGUUUCAUUGUGAUUCUGCCAGUGCUGAUUUGUUUCAUCUGCACCAUCCUGAGCAUUCUGAUCAUUUUCCAGAUCUACAACUAAUAUUUGCUGCAAGGCGAAUCCGCUAUCAAAUUGGUUUUAUUUGCCACGGCUUCUAAACCUGGUAGAGUGCCGGCAGGUGAUUUAGGAUGUCACGGAACGAAACCAGUGGGAAAGUUGAACACUGCUUGAGGUCAUUGGAUGCUCACCAGCUAGCGGAAUUGUGCAUGUCGUAUCUCUGUGUGAACUACAACAGCACCUGCAAGCUUUCGCCGCGAAGUUUGAAGAGUCUGCAUCCGGACAAUCAGGAUUAUUUGCGAGAGCACCGAUAGCCACCGGUGUGAAUUCUGAAGGACUACGACUACUACCAACGAUGUAUGAACGAGCUCAACAAUGGGAAGAAAGACUGCACGGCAGACGACAAGGGUUGUCUCUGCUUUUCCGGAGGGAAAUCAAAACAAUCGGCCGCGGCAGCCAAAUCGACCAUGCAGAAGGCAAUUACCUAGUUAGCUCGGAGCACCAAUCGGAUAUGGUUAGCACCAGUCUGUUCGAGUCAAAUGCCAACUCGGUGAACCAGUUUGAUCCGGAACACGACGGUGCGGAUCUCUGACAUUUGGCCUACGGAUCGUGGAAGUCGCUUCGUUUAAUUGAUUCUGCCAGUUUCAUCUGCACCAUCCUGAGCAUUCUGAUCAUUUUCCAGAUCUACAACUAAUAUUUGCUGCAAGGCAAAUCCGCUAUCAAAUUGGUUUUAUUUGCAACGGCUUCUAAACCUGGUAGAGUGCCGGCAGGUGAUUGAGGAUCUCACGAGGAUGUCACGGAACGAAUCCAGUGGGGAAGUUGAACACUGCUUGAGGUCAUUGGAUGCUCACCAGCUAGCGGAAUUGUGCAUGUCGUAUCUCUGUGUGAACUACAACAGCACCUGCAAGCUUUCGCCGCGAAGUUUGAAGAGUCUGCAUCCGGACAAUCAGGAUUAUUUGCGAGAGCACCGAUAGCCACCGGUGUGAAUUCUGAAGGACUACGACUACUACCAACGAUGUAUGAACGAGCUCAACAAUGGGAAGAAAAACUAGGCAGACGACAAGGGUUGUCUCUGCUUUUCCGGAGGGAAAUCAAAACAAUCGGCCGCGGCAGCCAAAUCGACUAUGCAGAAGGCAAUUACCUAGUUAGCUCGGAGCACCAAUCGGACAUGGUUAGCACCAGUCUGUUCGAGUCAAAUGCCAACUCGGUGAACCAGUUCGAUCCGGAACACGACGGUGCGGAUCUCUGACAUUUGGCCUACGGAUCGUGGAAGUCGCUUCGUUUCAUUGUGAUUCUGCCAGUGCUGAUUUGCUUCAUCUGCACCAUCCUGAGCAUUCUGAUCAUUUUCCAGAUCUACAACUAAUAUUUGCUGCAACGGUAUAGUCACCGCUGGAUGAUGGUUAUUGACGUCAACCGGAAGCGGGAAACGGGUUAGGACGAAUCUCGUCGCCCGGUUCUCUAGGCUUGCAACUCGCAAGCAUCUUUCGUCAAUCUAUAGUACGGAGCGGAGACUACUCGUUGAUUCGAAAUUUGGAACCACAUCAAAACAACUUGCAAACCUGCACUCAAUAUUAGCCAGAAUACUACUGAAGAUAGCAGAUCUUCGAUUAGCUCGUCAUGCAUGUCAAGCAGACAUUUAUCCGGCUUUUUGUUUAGGGAAGCUGAAACAUUUCCAAACUAAAUAUAAGUGGAGCGCUGUUCUUUUACGGUGUUAGCAAAGGCGCAAAAAAAACGCAAAAUAUGUCUCCAGGGGGUCUCUACUUUUAACAAUGAUAUAGUAAUACAGAUGAAAGUUAAGGUCACAUUCACUCACAGUACACUAAUAUGUACGUCUAGAAUUUGAGAAAGCAAACCUAAAAUUGUAGGUUACAUAAUUAGCUGUAAUAUUCCGAUGGGUUCCUUAGAACUAGAAACAAAAACAUGCUAGCCAAUUGUGAAGAAAAGUAUUUUACUCUCAGAAUUUAGAAUGUUUCAUUAUUUUUAUCUAGCUUUUUGAGCGCAUGGAGUGAUAAAAUUACAGGAAAUGAUAAAGAAGUUUUUAACACUUUCGUGAAAUAUAAGAUUAUAUAAGUAAUAAUAAUUUGGUUUUUAUUUGAAUUUAAAGUGCAAAACAAUUGUUAUUUCGAAAGUUUCACAGUUAAUUCUAUAAUAAAAUACAUUUUUGAUUUAAAGAACAAAAG